GGGCCGGUAGAUCAGGGGAAGAUCGCUUGCUUCGCAAGCAAGAGGUCGCGGGUUCAAAUGCAUUGCUUUGCCUCGCAAAGCAUGUCUGAAAAUCCCGCCCGGUCCA
rnacentral:tRNA from 1 species